rnacentral:rRNA from 1 species
GGAGGAAAGCAGGGGAUCGCAAGACCUUGCGCUUUUGGAGCGGCCGAUGUCUGAUUAGCUUGUUGGUGAAGUAAAGGCUUACCAAGGCUUCGAUCAGUAGCUGGUCUGAGAGGACGACCAGCCACACUGGGACUGAGACACGGCCCAGACUCCUACGGGAGGCAGCAGUGGGGAAUUUUGGACAAUGGGGGCAACCCUGAUCCAGCCAUGCCGCGUGAGUGAAGAAGGCCUUCGGGUUGUAAAGCUCUUUCAGCCGGAACGAAACGGUUACGAUUAAUACCCGUAACUACUGACGGUACCGGAAGAAGAAGCACCGGCUAACUACGUGCCAGCAGCCGCGGUAAUACGUAGGGUGCGAGCGUUAAUCGGAAUUACUGGGCGUAAAGCGUGCGCAGGUGGUUUUGUAAGUCAGAUGUGAAAUCCCCGGGCUUAACCUGGGAACUGCGUUUGAAACUACAAAGCUAGA